rnacentral:rRNA from 1 species
AUUGAACGCUGGCGGCAUGCCUUACACAUGCAAGUCGAGCGGGGUUUUCGGACCUAGCGGCGGACGGGUGAGUAAUGCGUAGGAAGCUGCCCGAUAGAGGGGGAUACCAGUUGGAAACGACUGUUAAUACCGCAUAAUGUCUACGGACCAAAGUGUGGGCCCUUCGGGCCACAUGCUAUCGGAUGCGCCUACGUGGGAUUAGCUAGUUGGUGAGGUAAUGGCUCACCACUGCGACGAUCUCUAGCUGGUUUGAGAGGCUGAUCAGCCACACUGGAACUGAGACACGGUCCAGACUCCUACGGGAGGCAGCAGUGGGUAGUAUUGGACAAUGGGCGCAAGCCUGAUCCAGCCAUGCCGCGUGUGUGAAGAAGGCCUUCGGGCUGUAAAGCACUUUCAGCGAGGAGGAAGGGUGGUGUGUUAAUAGCACAUCAUUUUGACGUUACUCGCAGAAGAAGCACCGGCUAACUCUGUGCCAGCCGCCGCGGUAA